AACGCAUAUUGCGCCCUUUGGUAUUCCGAAGGGCAUGCCUGUUCGAGCGUCAUUAUCACCAUAUCAAGCUUGGCUUGUUGUUGGGCCCUUUGUCACCUGGUGACAGGUCCAAAAGAUAAUGAGCGAUGUCGUACCGACUCUAUAUGCAACGAGCUGAUCACAGCACGCAUCUGGCAGUUGUACGGCCCGGUCUUUCACCCUUUUAUUUCUCAAGGUUGACCUCGGAUCAGGUAGGAAUACCCGCUGAACUUAA
rnacentral:misc_RNA from 1 species